UACGUAGGGGGCUAGCGUUGUCCGGAAUCAUUGGGCGUAAAGCGCACGUAGGCGGCUCUUUAAGUCAGGGGUGAAAUCCCGAGGCUCAACCUCGGAACUGCCUUUGAUACUGGGGAUCUCGAGUCCGGGAGAGGUGAGUGGAACUGCGAGUGUAGAGGUGAAAUUCGUAGAUAUUCGCAAGAACACCAGUGGCGAAGGCGGCUCACUGGCACGGAACUGACGCUGAGGUGCGAAAGCGUGGGGAGCAAACAGG
rnacentral:rRNA from 1 species